GUGCAGAGGAGGGCUGGAGAGAYGAUCGAAGCAGUUGGCACUAUUUGACAGAAAUGGUGCAUGGGAGAACCUAAAAGGUUAAACACCCUAAAAGAACAACUGAGCUGUCUGGACACUGUCACGCUCUUAACAGUGUCUGGAGUGAAGCGGAGUCCUAUAGUGCCAGUAAAAGCCAAGCUUGUAAUCUUCCCCAAAGAAAUGAGGCUUCUUGAACUCCAUAGGACCCGCUCACAGAAAAUGGGCUACAGAGACAUGUGGAACAAAUCUGCUUGAAAAUUGAAAUGUUGUGGAAUGCUGCUGCAUAUAACAUUGCAAGUACUCUGGAGCUGAGCA